rnacentral:rRNA from 1 species
AUUGAACGCUGGCGGCAGGCCUAACACAUGCAAGUCGAACGAGUGGCGGACGGGUGAGUAAUGUCUGGGAAACUGCCCGAUGGAGGGGGAUAACUACUGGAAACGGUAGCUAAUACCGCAUACCAUCGGAUGUGCCCAGAGGUGAUUAGUUAGUAGGUGGUGUAAAGGCUCACCUAGGCGACGAUCCCUAGCUGGUCUGAGCGGAUGACCAGCCAAAUGGGAACUGAGACACGGUCCAAACUCCUACGGGGGGAAGCAGGGGGGAAGAUUGCACAAUGGGCUCAAGCCUGAUGCGGCCAUGCCGCGUGUAUGAAGAAGGCCUGCGGGUUGUAAAGUACUUACAGCGGGGAGGCGUUACCCGCAGAAGAAGCGCCGGCUAACUCCGUGCCAGCAGCCGCGGUAAUAC